rnacentral:rRNA from 1 species
AAGACCUUGCGCUUUUGGAGCGGCCGAUGCCUGAUUAGCUUGUUGGUAAGGUAAAAGCUUACCAAGGCUUCGAUCAGUAGCUGGUCUGAGAGGACGACCAGCCACACUGGGACUGAGACACGGCCCAGGCUCCUAUGGGAGGCAGCAGUGGGGAAUUUUGGACAAUGGGGGCAACCCUGAUCCAGCCAUGCCGCGUGAGUGAAGAAGGCCUUCGGGUUGUAAAGCUCUUUCAGCCGGAACGAAACGGUUACGGUUAAUACCCGUGACUACUGACGGUACCGGAAGAAGAAGCACCGGCUAACUACGUGCCAGCAGCCGCGGUAAUACGUAGGGUGCGAGCGUUAAUCGGAAUUACUGGGCGUAAAGCGUGCGCAGGUGGUUUUGUAAGUCAGAUGUGAAAGCCCCGGGCUCAACCUGGGAACU